CCUACGGGAGGCAGCAGUGGGGAAUAUUGGACAAUGGGCGCAAGCCUGAUCCAGCAAUGCCGCGUGAGUGAUGAAGGCCUUAGGGUUGUAAAGCUCUUUUACCAGGGAUGAUAAUGACAGUACCUGGAGAAUAAGCUCCGGCUAACUCCGUGCCAGCAGCCGCGGUAAUACGGAGGGAGCUAGCGUUGUUCGGAAUUACUGGGCGUAAAGCGUACGUAGGCGGUUAUUCAAGUCAGAGGUGAAAGCCCGGGGCUCAACCCCGGAACUGCCUUUGAAACUAGGUAGCUAGAAUCUUGGAGAGGUCAGUGGAAUUCCGGGUGUAGAGGUGAAAUUCGUAGAUAUUCGGAAGAACACCAGUGGCGAAGGCGACUGACUGGACAAGUAUUGACGCUGAGGUACGAAAGCGUGGGGAGCAAACAGGAUUAGAUACCCUGGUAGUCCACGCCGUAAACGAUGAUAACUAGCUGUCCGGUCACUUGGUGACUGGGUGGCGCAGACUACGACAUUAAGUUAUCCGUCCGUCGGGUAGGUACGGUCGGCGAAGAAUUAAAACUUAAAAGUAAAGUUAGUACGGACGUGAGACGAGCCGAACGGACGACGACGAGGGAGGUAGG
rnacentral:rRNA from 1 species